rnacentral:lncRNA from 1 species
CGCCGCCGCGAGUCCUCGGCUGACCUCGGAAGGGUUGCUUUGCAGUGCAGCAGAGUGAGGCCCCCUGACUUCAUCGCGGGAGACUUUGGUGGGGGCGCCUCAGGAUCUCCAUAGCAUGGGGGAGGUUCCCUGAACAGGUGGCGUCCUGACCUCCCGCGGGAGCGUCCCGCGCUCUCCCCAUCUCUUGGUCCUUGGUGGGCUCCUUUACUUCUUUAUCUCCCUCCCCGCGAUGCCCGACUCCCAGCAGGAGUAUAGGUAGGCCCUAAGGGUUGACAUUCAAUCUGUGAAGGCUUCUCUUUUUUAUUUUGCCUUGAAGUAUCCUUUUUGUUAUCAAAGUUAUAUACGCCUAUUAUGCCAUAAUUGAAAGAGCAUAAAAUAUUGCUAGUAAUACUUGCAGACUCUCCUGUCUGCAUAUUUUAUAAAGUCCCAGGAAGAACGCACUGAAUGUGUGAUCUCUCUCUACGCAGUGCCAUCCUUCAUUGGGGUGGGGGUCAGCUAUUAUCCUGAGGAAUGUUAUUUUUCUAAUGAAUACAGCCAGCAGCAAAGGAGAUCCAAGAUGAAAACAAUAUUCCGAGGGAAAACAUAAAAAAAAAAGGAAAUACAGUUAUGAAAUGGGGAAAGGAGAGAACUAGAAUAAGAGAUCAGUAUGAAUUUAACACUAUUUUACUUUGUCAAGAUUUAUUUAUCUGUUCUAAUAAGUGAAUUUAUGUUUUUUAAAAAUAUGUUUUCUACCUCUGCAAAGAUAUUCCAGAAACAAGAAAGCCCAGAUCCUGGCUUCUAAGUUUCAUUUUCCACUAAAAGCAAGCAGAUUCUUUGAGGAGUGGCUGAUCCCACGGCUGAGACUGGGAAGUGCAAGUCAAGCCUGCAACAUCUGAUUGCACCAGGAAUUAAAGAGCUUAAUGCCAGGCAUGGUGGGCAUGCCUUGUAAUCCUAGAGACUCUGGAGGCUGAGUCAGGAGGAUCACAAGUUCUAGGUCAGCUCUGUUAACUUAGUAAGACCCUUUCUCAAAACAAAAAUUAAAAAGGGCUGGAGAUAUAGCUCAGUCAUAGAGCACCCUAGUAUUCCAUCCCAAGUACCGCAAAUAAAUAAAUAAAUAAAGGGGAUCUCAAAAAAUGAUGAGGAUGUUCCAAAAGAGCACGACAGCCAGCUCAAAGAAGCUCCCUGCCAAAUUUGGAACAAUUUGAGCAUCAAAAGGAAUAAUGUCCCAAAUAAAUUGUAACACAUGGAACAAUAAUUUUUAGAAUCCUUGAGUCCAUGCUGAUAAUAUAACUACUAUUAUAAAUAACAAAAUUAACAUGUCAAAAUGUUGAUGGGGAGGAAAGCUCUUCUUUACAUUAGAAUGCCAACUACUGGCAUUAAAAUAUUUUCCAUCUCCUUAAAGGCAUGUCUCCUGGAUUGGGUGGCUUUUCCUUUUUUAAAAUGCUGGUGCAAGCCAAGUGCAGUGGCACAUGCGUGUAAUCCCAUGUAUUCAGGAGAAUGAGGCAAGAGGAUUGAUCACAAGUUUGAGGCAGCCUGGACAAUUCAGCAAGACCCUGUCUCAAAAUAAAAAAUUAAAGAGGGGCUGGGAUUGUGGCUCAGCAGUAGAGUGCUCAUUACUAUGUAUGAGGCCCUGGGUUCAAGUCUCAGCACCACAUAAAAAUAAAUAAAUAAAAUAAAGAUAUUGUGUACAACUAAAAAAUAAAUAUUAAAAAUAUUAAAUAUUAAAAAAAAUUUAAAAGGGGGGAGAGGGGCUGGGGAUGUAGCUCAGUUGCAGAGCGCCCCUGGGUUCAAUUUUCCAGUACUGCAAAAAAUAAUAAAGGCCAUGGUGGUGCACACCUGUAAUCCCAGCUACUUGGGAGGGUGAGGCAAGAGGAUGGCAUGUUUGAGGCUAGCCUCCAAAAUUUAGUGAGACCCUAUUUCAAAAAUAAAAAAAGGGCUGAGGGUAUAGUUGAAUGGUAGAGCAUCCUUGAGUUAAAUUCCUAGUACUACAAAAUAAAUAUAAACAAAUGUCCCCUGUGUUAACAUACCAAGAAUUAUUUAUCCUCCUGUCAAGGUGGUUUUUAUUAUUAUUAUUAUGAACAUCACAUCUAACAUCUGUUUCUCUCAGUAACACACCUACACCUACAAAUGGUAUUGCUGAUUUUAGGAUAUGUGAAUUUCAAUUUUAUAAGAUAAUACCAAACUAUCUCCAAGGUACUCAACUUCCACUCCCACUAACAAUUUAUAAGGGACCUUUUUAACCCACAUUUUCUCCAGCAUGUGAAAUUAUCUCACCUUUUCAUUUCUGCCAGCCAAAUAGGGGACAAAUGUGUCUCUCAUUGUAGUCUUGAUCUUCAUCUUCCUA